rnacentral:misc_RNA from 1 species
CAAAAACCUAAGGAAAAGAAACUUUAUUAAUCAUAAUGGUUUUCCCUCUGUUCAUAAUUUAGAAAAUCAGAAAUCUGAGAAAAAAAAUCAGGACUCCUUUAUAACUUGAUAUUUGAACCAAAUUUCUGAAAAAUUCUCAUUUAAAAUAUCAAUGCUGUAAAUUUUUUGCAUUUUUUAUUUUGUGUAUAUGAUCUAGUCAUAUUUAUUUUGUCAUCUGGUUUUCAUGACUAUACAGUUCAUUGUUCCAUAUGAUAUUGCUUAAUUAAUUUGCAUUAAUUACCAUCUGUGCAUAUGUAGGUAAAUUUUUGCUAUGGAUUGUCAUUUCACACGUGAUAUUUGAAAUUGUUAUGAAUUUUUAGACAUGUGUAUUUUCAUGGUAGUAUACAAAAUUCAGAGCUUGUUAGAAAUACUUCACGCAAGAAAUAAUUUGUUUCAAAUAAAUCGUAAUG